CUUGAUGGUUUAGGGUUUCUUUUUGGCCAAAAUGCAAUAGCACGCUGUAGAUAUCUAUCAAUUGCAUUCAUUAAGGCACAGAGAGCUUUCUAAAGUUCCCAUGACCUGUUUAUUAUUCAGGAGGUGUCUGUGUUUGAUGUGGUGGGCACAGAUUUGUUCCACCUGUUUGGUUCUCAGCUGAACUCCACUGGUGCAAAACUGCAGCCCAUUGUGCUAAGCACACUGGUCUCUUGGCAGGUUCAUUGUGAGUAAAUGGUAUGUAUCCCUCUAGCUGAGUAAGACCUUGAUGAACUUGUAUCAAAGGAUUUUCUGAACUCGUUUUAGGAGCAUGAUGUGAAUUAUAUAGAGCAGGUGUGAGUGCCAGAGGAACGCGGAGGUUGGUGUCACACUUCACAGCUGAAAGCCACCCACCAUCAAGGCUGCUUUUCAUGUGCUCUGCCAAUAUGAACCCUGCUGGAAACGGAAGUCUCUCUCAGGCUGUAUGUAAGCCUGAAGGGACAGAGCAGCCUUUUGAGGGAGGAAAUCAAAAACAUUGGAAAAAUUCCUGCUUCAAAUCAAGGAAGCAGUGAUGCUUGGAUGUGACCCUUUUUGUGCUAUAGGUACUGGGUUAGAGCUAUCCAACACCUGGACUCCUUCCUCCUGGAGAUAAAAUGUUUGACAGUGCCUUAAGGCUACAGGUAGAAGGGACAGCCUGUGACUUCCCUUCCAACAGAGCUCCAAAGCCACUACUAGUGACAGAGCUUUUGAAGGUGUGAAGAAAGAAAUUCAUAGUGAUUGUGACUCUUUCCUUUAACAAAGCAGUUUUGAAUGGCUCCUAUUGGUUAGACAAGGUUUAUAUUGUACACAUCCAAUAAUAUCAGCUAGCAAGUUAUCACUGUGUUUCUCAAGACACCGAUUUCUUAAUUGUUGUUCUUCUGACAACAUGUCCCUGGGUAUCUGGUGUUAGAUGCUACAGAAGACACCUAAGCUUCCAGCAGAAAUUACAGUGACUUACGGUGACUCUAUCUCUGGACCAGAGCAAAAUCAUGAAAUAAGUGUUUUGGGUAUUUCUGCUUUGUGAGCUGCGCUGGUUAAGUAUUGGAUUUUGUAUCUGUUUUUUUGUUUUUGUUUUUUUUUUUUUUGUAAACUGAGUUGGCUCUUCUGUAUCGAUCCUCUGUUGAGGAAAGGAAGCCCCAGGAAAAUACUGCCAUGAAAGGUUUCUGUGCUGUAGUCCCACUAAAUUAAAACGGAGGCCCUUCACCAUGGAAAUGUUGUCCCUCCAGGAGGAAGUUUCUCUAAUUAAAUCGGACCAGUUCCAGCACGUUUUGGUGAGCAGGUCUUUGCCCUCUUCCUCAAAGGGAGUUAGGAAUAGGGGCUGCCUACAGUAGUUCUGACAUAAUGUUUUGGUUUGGGGAGUGGAGAAAACAGAAAAAUAGCAGUAGCAGGAAUGUAGUAAGUUACUAACAGUGAUGAAAGAAGUCUGAAAGACUGCCAUACAAACAUAACUUCCUGAAAAGCUAGAUAAUUUCUUUGCUAUGUUGGCACACAUCUCAAAAAAGAAUGUAAGCUUUCUUAUAUAUUUCUGAUUUACUUAAAAAAAAAUAGGGAAGGUGGACUACAGUGUUACCCAAUAUCAGCACACUGUAUGUAAUUCUAAGGCAGUGAAGUUACAAAAUUCAGAGGCAGUUUGAUUUCAGUUUUUUAGAAGAUAUUAAACAAUACAGUGUGUAAUAACAGUUGCUACCUAUGAAGGGGAAGGAACAUUUUCUGCUAGUUCUUGAAUCAAGGAUUAUAUUUGCAGAAGUGACCUUGGUCAAGGCUUUUCACAGCUGUAACGUUCUAGGUCACCUUCCUAGUAGAUUUGGGUUCUGCUGCUGUAAACUAUUAAUGCCUACAUAUGCAGCCUCACAUGCAACAGUUAAUGUUUGAACAAAGCCUUCUGGCUUGAUCAACACCCCUCACAAUUAGCAAGUAAUUUAAAAAAAAAACAAAAAACAAAAACAAACAUUUUUUUUUCCCCACUUUCUCAAACCAGCAUAAAAUCCCUUAAACCUUAUUGCUUAAAUAAUGCAAGGGAAAAUCUCAGGUAAUGCACUAACAUCUCCAAACCAGAGUUAAUCUUUACAAUACACCUUUGAGAAAUAAUCUCCUUUUACCACUUUUCAGCAAGCAGGGCUAGCUUCAGCUCCUAGUAGGAAGAACAGGGCUAGCUCACAAGCAAAUACUACACUGGCAGCAGAACAGGACAAGAAGCAGAGCUGGGUUAACCAAAACUACUCUUUGACUUCUCUGUCAUCUUGAUUUGGCAGCUUGCUUUUCCCUUUGACCAGAGUCCAUUGUGCAAUACAUCAUCCUCUUACUCUUUGCAAUCUGGAACUAUAAUGAAGAAUGUGCUUAUUCUUUGAUUAAAAUGCUUCCAGCUGGGUUAAUUUGAAAGAACACAAUGUCACAAUGGAGUCUAGUCAAUGAACUAGCAAAAGAGGGAUAACAGAAUAGCAAAGUUAUUGCCAUGAAAUAAGUCUUACUUGACACCAGUAGCAGUCUUGGGAUGGUAAGAAUGAUGACUCCAGUUCUCCUGGUACGUUAUUAAGGAGUUAAGAAUAGGGUAGCAGAAAGGACUCCAGGGUGAAAAAGGUGAGAGCUACGGUUUGUCCAAGCCAGCAUUUAUUAGCCAAAUGACCUGCACAGGACUUGUAAGACCAUAGGUGAGUCAAAGGACUCUUUGGCAGUAAAUGCUUGAGGAGGGUUAGAUGUUAAAAAGCAGACACAACAGGCUCUUCAUUUUUCCCUCUCCUAUGUCAUGUGCCACCUCCGAAAUCAAGUGUGAAUAGUAUUUGUCUGCAUUAUUUUUCUAGUAGCCUCCUCUCUUCUACCAGUCUCCUCCUAUGUAAAUGCUUUUGGGUGCACAUUUCUACUUUGAUGAUGAGACUAAGCACAGGGAGCAAGAACAGAGGAGAAAGCUUUUCUUAGCCAGUCUGCUGCAUUCUGAAGUUCUUUUUUCAUAUGAGGGUGGCAUGGUUAUGUUGCUGCUUUCUUUUUACUUCAAAUAUUGAGUGAUAUCUGUGAUGGAAAUCACAGGAAUAUGAUGAUCUGUGAUGACUGCAGUGUAGAAGGAAUGUACUGAAAAUGCCUAAUAAACUCCUUACCACCCAGCAGUUAUGCUGGUACAGCACAGAGGGUAGCUGAGGUGCUGGUUAAUAAAACUGUUAUUGAAGUAAUUCUAAAAUUUUUCUCCUACUUUUCUGCCUUUUUCUUUUUUUCUUUUUUCCUGCUUUUCUGCUGGAUGGUAUGAGAAAUUCCUAAUUGUCCAUGUCAUGGAAGGGAUUUCACAGGAACAAAGGAGAGGGAAGAGGAAGUCUAGAGAAAAUAAUCUACACAUCUGAGCAUGGAGUCUUCCUUUGAAUCUAAACAAAUGUUAUUUUACCUUUUCUUUCCUAUAAAUGUGAAAGUUUUAGGACUGUAGUUACCUGAAGUGUUUUCCAUAUUCGUAGGUUUCAUCUAAGGAGAUUACUAACCUCUUGAUCCUAUGACCGUGCUGCCAUAUGCCAGCCUCUCUGUCACUGCAACCAUCUGUGGUGAUGCAUGCUGAAUUGUUCUCCCUUGCCAAAGGAUGUGGAAGGCCACUGACAACUCCUGUGUUCAGCAGCAGGUGCUAUACUGAAGAACUUGACAGGCUUUUCUGGACACAGUGACACAAAACCAGCAUCAGUGACAAUGCAGUGACAGACCAUUCAAGAAAACUGAAAGCACCUCUUGGAACUGGAGUAGGAGCCUUGAAGAGGGCAUGGAGCUCUGAUUUCUGCUUACGGCUGGGUUACGAAUUUUUGAGAGAUUACUUUACUUCCCAAAACGCAUUCCAGGAGACUAUUCCAGUCAGUCUUACCACAUUUGUCAGAAGUGCAAAAUAGCACAUUUAGAUAUCCAGUGUCUCCUCUUCCUGCUUUCCCAAUAAGAUCCUUAUGAAUUGUGCUUGUUCCUUCUUUUCCCCUUUUUCAAGAGGUAAAAGCUGUAGAUGUGAUGAAAGUUCAGACAUGUAAAUACUCAGCAAAAUUUAGUUCCCUGCAGGAAGAAAACCUGGCUGUCCUGAAUUCCUCGCUUCUGUGCACAGACUAGUCAUUUACAACUUCAAUAUGCUUGUCAUAGUUACUGUGUUGAUUAAGCAACACCUGUUUGCUAAUAAAUAUUCCAGUUGUUCUGAAGUAUAAAUCAGGGAGAGGGAAAGAUUGCAGAUCAUACCUUAAAGAACUGUCAAAGAAUAUGGAAAGUCUUUGAUGGCCUCUUGAACAAUGUAAUAUAUGCUCACAUUUUGAUUAGAGUAACAGUCUACUCCCAAGCAAGCCAGAAAGCAAAUUGUACCCUAAAGAAAGGUGUGUUACAGAAGACCAUGUUCUUAGAAAGCAACAGUAAGCAGUGUCUGCAAUAUCCAGUAGAUGAGAUGUUUCUAGGAUCUUGUGUCAACCUGUCUGUGAAAUCAAAUUGAACCACUGGCUCCCAAGGAACUUAUAAUGGGAGUAAUGUUCCCAUCUAAAAUACUGCUUUGUAAACCAAACAUCACUAAAUGCAUAUUACAUCUCCUUCAUCACUACUGCUAGGCAUCCCAGCAUACAAUUGAUAAUUAUAGCUGUACUUAUUAGUGGGAUUUUAGGCAAUGAAACAUUAACUCCCCAAUGUCAUUUACUAUGCCAGUUAUGAAAUCAGUAUCAAAUUAGUCACAUUUCUGUCAGUGUUUAGUUACUCUACGCAAAGAGAUUCUCUUGAGCUCAGUACCCUUGUCAUUGCUAACUGAAGCAAAAGGAGAAAUAAAAUUGUCUUUCAGCCAGUCUGCACUGACAUAUGGAGGAGGUAUAUUCUCUUCCUUCUGACUAGUAAUAUAGGAUGAGUAAAGAACAUGCAUGUUUCUGGACCUGCUGUACACAUCCAACUUAAGAUGUGUGUAUGUGGCAUGCCUUGAAAUCUGACCUUUGCUUCCAGUUGAUUUGUGGUAUUUGGUUGAGUCAGCAGAGGAGUCAAAAUGAGUCGCAACUGAAUGGUUUGAGUAAAGGGAGCCAAUGGUUGUGCCUGGUGAUACAGUAUGAGAAAUGGAAAGCAAUUCAGAGUAAACUCGGGAGAUUGGCAUUAAAACAUUGAAAGUUGCAGCUUAUAGACACCAACAGACUUCUGCUAGGCUUGUAGUAUUAUUCUGUUAGUAAUAUGAAGACAUGUUUUGGACUAUGGACAAUGUAUUAAGUGAUAAUAAUGCUGAUUUAAUUCUACAAAGUGCUCAUUAUUUACACUUGAUGCACAUCUAGUGCCAUCUCAAAGGCAUAUUUGUAACUUAGCGCACUGAUCUGCAUGAUCCUGAACAUUCUGAAACCAAGGAUGACUGAUACAAAAUCCAGUAGGCUCUGCAAUGGGAAGACAUGGAAUUGAUAUGAUAAAUGGAGCAAUUUAAUAAAUGUAGUUAUGUAUGUGUGUGUUCUGUUUUCAUGGACGAUGACAUUUUGCCCUGUGAAGAACCUGGCUAAAGCCCAGGCAAUACUCGUGGACCGUUUAAGCUCUAGCCCUUUGACUUACUUGGAACACUAUCAUAGUGUGGUUUUGGACUACUCACUCUAGAGUGGAAUUUCACCCUUUGGGUUUAAAUUAUCACACUUUGUUGCAAAAACCUGGUGAAAAGAGUUUGAAUAUUACAGAAGUCUUCAAAUA